rnacentral:lncRNA from 1 species
GCAGCAUGAGCCCCAUUUUAUGCAACAUGCAUGCGAAGGGAGAUUCUGUGUCCCCGAAAACCAUUCCUUCAGGUAGGUCUUCAACCUUUAUUGCUGAGAAUCCUGGGAUGAAAUCAAGGGUUUGGUCUUGCACCUGCCCUGUAAUAGGCGAAUAGCUGCAUUAAUUCAUAUUAAUUGACGGACGUCACUGAUCAAGAUGAAUGACAAACAAAAAAAAAUGCUUUCUAUGAGAAAAAUAAUAACUGGGUAUUUGCAGUAACUUGAAAUCACAACAAGAAAAUGGUCAUUUUAAUUGGAAUAUGUUUCAUAUGUAAAAAACUGGUCAUGAAAAAAAUAAUUUGGCAAUCUUAGAAAUUGUUGAAGGAAAUAUUCAAGGAGAUACCCAAAAUCAAGCAUGUAAAGGGCAAGAAGGCACUCCCAUCAAUAUUUCUAUAAAUCUAGAGAAUAUAUUUGAUUUUUGUAGGAAUAUUCUUUAUUUCUUUUCAUAAAUAACUCAUUUAUAUUUUUGUAUAAAGUUCCAAAUGAAGUAAUAGAAAUAACAACUUCCAUUACCAAUACACAGAGUUAUAAACUUGCAUGCCAAAAUGUGUCUUCCCCAAAUAUAGAACUUGGACUCGGUAUUCAGUCAUUUCACCGUCCAAUAUCUCUUUAUGGGUUUAGUGAUGCUAAUUGGGUAGGUUAUCCCACUACACCACAUGUUAUUGUGUCUUUACUUGAGCCAAUUGCACCUCUUGAUGUUCAAAGAAACAACCAAAGCACCGAGGCAGAGUAUCUUUGGCCUUCUAUGCAAUUGAGUUGACUCAGAUUACUUAUCUCCUAUGAGAUAUUGGAGUGUCCCUCCCUAAAUCACCAUAAUUAUUUUGUGUUAAUGUUAGUGUUCUUUACAUGCUCGAUAAUCCUAUGUUUCAUGUUUGUUCUAAAUAUGUUGAGCUUAAUUAUCAUUUUGUACGAGAGAACCUAUGGGCACUCUUUUCACUUGCUAUAUUUCCAUACAUUCCCAACUUGUUCAUAUUUUUAUCAAAUCUUUGUAAAAUGACAUCUUCACCAUGUUUUGGGAUAAGUUAGGUGUUUAUAUUUAUUACUCCUCUAACUUGAGGGGUAUGUUAAAUGAAAUAUUUAAGGAGAUACAAAGAAUCAAAAUUCAAGGAAAUGUACAAAAUCAAGCGCAUAAAUGGUAUGAAGACACCUAAUCAAUAUUUCCAUAAAUCUGAAAAAAAUUAAAUAUUAACAAUAUUUGGUAUUCAUACUGUUUGAUUUUCUUAAUUUUAGGAUAUCUUCUUGUAGAUAUUUUUGUUACAAAUAUUCUUUAUUUCUUUCCGUAUAUGACUCAUCUACAUUUUGUAUAAAGUUCUAAAGAAAGUACUGGAAAUCAAUUGUUGUCAAUAUUUGAUUUUUUUAGAUGUGCCUCCUUGAAUAUUUUCUUCAACAAAAUGUUUUACAUACUCCAUUUGAAAAUUAGAAAAAUGAUACAUUAAUUUCUGAACUAUUUCUCUUAGUUAUUGCUUCUCCAAGAUAUGCUAUAGCAUUUCCACUAGCAUAACAACCUCCAAUUUUAAGUUAUUAAAGAAACUAAAACAUUUAGGUAGUAAAGAAACUAAAAGCAAGAGGUGAUAUUACUGAUAUGACUGAUGAUAAGUGAAAAUAAGGGGGGAAAGGCAAGGAUGAUGAUAAUUUUGUAGUUUGACAUAAGAAAAAACUUGAAAAAGAGCACACAAAAGUCUUCUCAUACCCGCAACUCCCACUGCUUCCCGGAUAGCAUCAGUAUAAAUGUGGACGGAGAGUGAGUAAAGCGCAGCAGUCCUAAUUGCCACCCACGGAACCCCCAUUUCCUCAGCCAUAUCAGCAGUGAACCACAAAAAGACAUCACUCACCAGGCAACUUAUCUUCCUUCCAAUGUCCUUCUCAGCCACUUCCAAAGCAUCACGAAAGUUCCCAGGCGUCGCCUUCAAGAACAUCUCGAUGCGUGCCAGGGGGUUUGCUGAAAGCACAAGGUCCUCUGGCACGCCGUCUGCUACAUCAUAAACUCUUAGAUUGUGAAUACCGUGGGGACUUUGAGCAGAGGAGAUGGAGCUGUUGGCCUUGGGAGUGUUGAAGAAGGAGAAGAUGGUGGUGGGUGCGGCAGAUGCUAGUCUGCGCAGGAGUUUUAAGAGGGUAGCUGUAUGGGUGGGGAACCCUAAUACUGCAACAUGCCUGUCCAUGGAGCUGGCGGUGGUAGUCAUGGCUUGCUGGUGAUUCUGUGAGUUAUGGGGCGAGGUGAGGCUUUAAUAUUGGGGAUGAUGAAAGGUAAUUUUUAGGCGCUCAUUGUGGCGGCCUAUGGCACCACAGACUCGGUUGUGGACAUGAAUGGUCCGUGCUUAGUGCAUUAAAUUUGCAAAUGGCUUCUGUUCACAUUGGAAACUUUUUCCAAUUUUAAGCAUUUUUUUAUAAAUUUUGGACUAAAAAUGUUUUUUAGUAUUUAUUUUUAAAAUGUGAUGAUUUUUGGGAACAAAUUCAGGUAUUUUAAACAUUUUUUAUGGUAUUUUAGAAAAUAAUUAGAAAUACAAAAAAGAAAAAAAAAAAAAAAACUCCCUUAUAUAAUUUUGAGUUCCAACGUGAGAUUCACUGACUGUGCCAUCCUCUAUCCAAAUAAUUAGAAAUACAAAAAAACUCCCUUAUAUAAUUUUUAACAUUUUUUAUGGUAUUUUAGAAAAUAAUUAGAAAUAAAAAAAAAAAAAAAAAAACCCUCCCUUAUAUAACUUUGAGUUCCAACGUGAGAUUCACUGGCUGUGCCAUCCUCUAUCCAAAUAAUUUAUUUUGUUGUUUUCUUUGAUUGAGAUUUAGAAUCAAUAUCCCGGGGAACUGUUCCUUACUGAGUCACCUAUGGGCAUCUCGGAGUCCACUACAUACAUUUAUCCGUCAGUCACUGUUAUUGUGAUACCCGAUUGCAACUUUUCAAUAUUUAAGGUGUUAUUUGUUUUUUCGAUUGAAUAUUUAACUUUUUUUAAUUUAAUUAAAAGUAAUUUAUAGACAUCAAUUAAUAUAAUUAAAUUAAAUUUAUUGAUAAUAACAUCACUUUAGUUAUAUUGGUUAAUAUCAUCAAAGUCGUUUUAACUGAAUAGAAAUAAUCAAAUAUUUUGAUUUUUUUUAUUCAGUCAAAAAACAAAAACUACCUAAGUUAUUGUAUUUCGAUUUUUCAUCUUUUUAUAGACAAAGAUAUAUCUAUUUUUAUCAUAGAAAUAUUGGUAGUUGAAUUUUAGGAAUAUAUCAAAAAAUAUCAAUCAAAAUAUUGAGGGAGCUGAGAAAAACUCUAACAAAUAAUAAUACAUAUUUUUAAGUUAUUUUAUUAAAAGAAAAUAAUACAUAAAUUAAAAAUAGUGGUUGAAGAAGGAGAAGAUGGUGGUGGGUGCGGCAGAUGCUAGUCUGCGCAGGAGUUUUAAGAGGGUAGCUGUAUGGGUGGGGACCCUAAUACUGCAACAUGCCUGUCCAUGGAUCUGGCGGUGGUAGUCAUGGCUUGCUGGUGAUUCAGUGAGUUUUGGGGCGAGGUGAGGCUUUAAUGUUGGGGAUGAUGAAUGGUAAUUUUUAGGCGCUCAUUAUGGCGGCCUAUGGCACCACAGACUCUGUUGUGGACAUGAAUGGUCCGUGCUUAGUGCAUUAAAUUUGCAAAUGGCUUCUGUUCACAUUGGAAACUUUUUCCAAUUUUAAACAUUUUUUUUUAUAAAUUUUGGACUAAAAAUGUUUUUUAGUAUUUAUUUUUAAAAUGUGAUGAUUUUUGGGAACAAAUUUAAGGUAUUUUAAACAUUUUUAUGGUAUUUUAGAAAAUAAUUUGAAAUACAAAAAAAAAAAAAAAAAAAACUCCCUUGUAUAAUUUUGAGUUCCAACAUGAGAUUCACUGGCUGUGCCAUCCUCUAUCCAAAUAAUUUAUUCUGUUGUCUUCUUUGAUUGAGAUUUAGAAUCAAUAUCCCAGGGAACUGUCCCAUACUGAGCCACCAGUGGGCAUCCACUUGGAGUCCACUACAUGCAUUUAUACGUCAGUCACUGUUAUUGUGAAUACCCGAUUACAACUUUUCGAUAUUUAAGGUGUUCUUUGUUUUUCGAUUGAAUAUUUGACUUUUUUUUAUACAAUUAAAAGUAAUUUAUAGACAUCAGUUAACAUAAUUAAAUUAAAGCUUAUUGAUAAUAACAUCAUUUUAAUUAUGUUGAUUAAUAUCAUCAAUAUACUUUUAGAGGAAUAGAAAUAACCUAAUAUUUUGACUUUUUUUAUUCAAUCAAAAAACAAACACUAUCUAAGUUAUUGCAUUUCAAUUUUUCAUUUUUUAUAUAUAAGGAUAUAUUGGUUUUUAUCACAGAAAUAUUCGUAGUUGAAUUUAGGAAUAUAUCUAAAAAUAUCAAUCAAAAUAUUGAGGGAGCUAAUAAAAACUCUAAUAAGUUAUUUUAUUAAAAGAAAAUAAUAUAUAAAUUAAAUAUAGUGGUUGAAACUUUUAUUAAGAAUGGGAAGAAUUUAUCAAGAAAAAGAUAAUUAAUAGCUUUAAAAAAUGAGAAAUAAUUAAUAACUUUGAAAAAAGGGAGAUAAUUAGUGACUUUAAAAAGAUUAAGAAUUUUCAUUUCGGGGGAAAUUUUUUUUUUUUUUAUUGUUUUACUUCCUUAACAAUGUUCAAUGCAUAAGUGUAGCUUCUUACCAUCUUGUUUUGCGUCUUGAUUAUAUUUUAUCCCACACAAUGCUUUACCUUUGGAAAAGUUAUUUCUAUGUGUACAAAAUAUAGGAUUGGGAGAUGCGUGCAUUAUCUUCCAUCCAAUCUUUUUUAGAUGAGCAUACUUGAGUGUUAAGCAAACUUCAUUAUGACAGUUUGGAUGUGUUUAUGUAACGAUGUUUGGUUACCAAAUUGUCAAAAGGAAGAUAGUUAAGACAAUAAGUCUACGUUGUAUCUUGACAAUUUUGUUCCAAUUAUUUUUAAAAUUAUGAAACUUUUAUCUAAUAAGAUAGGGUUGAAUUGGAAAUUUUAAUUGAGUUAAAAUAUUUUAAUUAUUUAGAAAAAAAAAUUAAAUUGAGAAGUUAAAAAAAAAAAUCUUUUCAAAUAAUAAAAAUAAUUUAGAAAUGAAUUUUAAAUUAAGGAUUUAAAAUUAAAAUUUUUAAAUGAAAAGUUUUUUCAAAUCUUUUUAAUUUAAAAUAUGAAAUUUAAUAACUUGCUUGAUUAGGAAAAACCAAUAGAAUUGGAAUCAAUUUAGAAAUCAUAUUUUAUAAAAACAUAAUUUAAAAACUUAAUGGUUUUAAAAAGAUUCGGAGAGAUUUUGCUAUGAUCCAAAUGUAAUCAUAUACUUGAAUGAUCUAGUUAUAAAUUUAGUACUAUUAUAGAUAUUUGAUACUACAUAUAUAUCAGCUUGCGAGAUAAAAUGAAGUUAUUUCAACACAUAAACCAUUACAUGUUAAGGGGAAACACCCCACUCAUCAACUCACUUACACAUUGAGAAUCAACUACUACAAUAAACGUUCCAAAAAAAACCCACUACUAAUAAGGCAUUAAACACAUGAUGACAUGUCUUAUCAGAAAUACAAAUCAGAGUUUCACCCUAGUACCCUCGAACUUCUCCUUGGUGAUUCGAUCUAAACACUCCACCAUCUCAGUAGUUAAAUGAUUCUUCCAAUCUCCGACCUUACCUCUUCUGAAAUAUACAUCAUUUGCACGCACACGGGUUGGGGAAGCGGCCAGUGUUCCAAUCUUAUUCACCUCCAAAUUGCUCAAGUUCUCAAAACUGCACAACCUUAUCAUUUUGUGUACCACGCCUUCUUGGUCAUCCUCCAAAGAGAAAGGCUGCCCCAUGAAUUCGGCUAGUGUCUUGACAUGGACAAUAGGCUCAGUCUGCAGGUCCUCAUAUCUCAACAAUAGCACCCUAUGAGGCCAUUCUAAUCUUGCUUUCCAGUACCCUAAAACAUGAUCCCAGUAUGGUCCAUGUCCCGAAAACCCUUUAGCAAAAUGCUCAAAUGCCACCUCUUAGGAAAGGGGUGGCAAUUCCUUGGGUCUCACCUUACUUGCAACUUUCCACAAGGAAACUAGCACAUCUUUUGGAUUGCGAUACACGUAAACAAUUUUGCAACCUAAAGCUAAUAUGGAGCUUGAUAAUGAAGUAAAAAAAAAAAAAUAUGGGUGCAAUGUUUUCAGAAUCGGACCGAUCAUUAAACCAAAAAAGUUAUCAGUUCAUGGUUCACUGGUCGAACCGCGGUCGAAUCGAUGUCGUCAUAAAUUUAUAUUUUAUUAUUUUAUAUAUUAUUAAUUUUAAAAAAUUAAAAAAAUAAUAAUAAAUUCUAUCUAAAUUUUUACAAUAUCUAUCAAAAUUAUGAUCAACAAUUAAAAAUAACACAUUAAAUAAUAAAUAUAAAAGUAAUAAAACAUAAAAUAAAUUUUAAAAAAUAAAAAUAAAGCAGCUACUACCACUGCACAAGCUGGGGGGUGGAGUGCGAUCUACACCCAAUCUCCCACUUCGCCUUUCUUAAAGUGCGCCGAGUUUUUAAAUCCGUGUGGGCAUUUUCUAGUCUAAUUUUUAAGACUCUGAAGACUACACAACCUUGAUAUUUCCUCUAUAAUCCCCACUCUCUCUUCCUCCUCAGAAAAAGGAAAGCCCAAGAAGUACACUAACCUUUUGAUGUGAGCACUGAUAUCCUCCUUGAGAUCUUCAUAUUUCAGAAACAACACCUUGUUUGGCCUCCCCCCACUCAUCUUCCAAUACUCCAACACAUGGUCCCAGUAGGGUCCAAAUAACUCUACACCCCGGCAAAACAUCUCCAACCCAUGGUCUAGGGAGGUUGGAUUGAGAGGCUGAGAAUAAAAAUUGAGCAACUACUGUCGUUGCACAGGCCGGGGAGAGGAGGGGGGGUGGGGUUACAGCAAUCUGGAGGGAGAGUUACAGCCAGGGGUUGGAGUAGCUACUACUGCAUAAGUCAGGGAAGGGAGGGGGGGUUACAGCGGUGGAAGCCUGUCACAGCGUGUUGGGGGUGGGCCUAGAGGCAGGCGGUAACUGUUGUAGAUAUUAGGAGGAGGGUUUGGAAGGAGAUCCUUCAAAAUGACAUCGUUUUGAUGCAAAAAUAAUAAUAAUAAUAAUUGAACAGUUUGAUUCGGAGGGAACUAGCAUGUUCGUCUAGUUCAUCGCUUGGACCACCGGUUCAACCGGUCCGAUUCCGAUUCAACCUAUUUUCUGUGUAAAUGAUCGGAUCGAAACCAUGACAGGCCGGCGGUCAAACUGGCCGGUCCGAUCCAGUAUUUAAAACCAUUUAUGGGUGUUACAGAUUCAAGGAAGGUCUUGGUUGAGACUUGUACAGUUCUUACUAGCAUCGGCCUCCAAGAAAGGUAUGUAGUCAUGAGGAUUAGUUGAGAGCAAGGGGUGGGAAUCAUAAUUAUAUCUAACUCUGUUCAAGAUAGCGAACACAAGGGCCUUAAGCCAUGUGGUGCCAAAUUUUGGACUAGUGCUCUAGAGGAUAUUAGUGGGUCGUACGACUCGUACCUUGAAGCAUCUUGGGCUGAUAUGACUUCUGAGAGUCGUUCGUCCCAAUACCAAAAUCCUUGGUAAUAGUACAAAUGCUUGGUGAUCCAACAUUUUCCUCUGGGUAGGGUUGAUAUGAAUUCUUUCAACUUUUCCUUGCUGCUCACCUUCUCAUCAUCUUCUCCAUAGCUGCCUCGUGAGCAUGAAUCUUCCUCUUCUCCAUAACUCAUUUUUUAGGAGAAAUCUGCCAUACAGAGAAGAUGAACGAGUUGUAAUUGCCCCAGAUUUCUAUUGAAUUAGCAGUUUUGAAGGGUAGUCAAGCACAAUGAAUGAUUUGGGUGUAAGACAUGGUGUUCUGUUUCAGGUCCAGAAAUCGGGUCCACUAGGCAUUUAUAGGGCAUGGUGUUUUGUUUAUUUUAUAUUAUUCAUUGCAGUAUUCUGCUUCACGUGCAGAAACCGGGUCCACUAGGCAUUUAUUUGUCAGGUCUCAGAUUUCAUAAACCGGUCCAUCUAUGGCAUCUGCUCCUUUAAAAAUGUUGGGACCGGUUAUCCGUCGGGCAAAACAUCAUAAAAAAAAAAUCGAUAAAAUCGUCCAAAUAUUGACGAAAUAUUGGUUUGAUUUCAGGAUCAAUUUAUUGCCAAUUCCUCGCAACAGGGGCACACGUUUAUAGGGAAAAAUAUCGUCUAUAUUUUGGUCAUUUUUUUAAAAUAUUAUCGAUUUAUCAACAAUUUUUCAAAAAAUGUCAAUUGUUUUUUAGAUAUUUAUCUAUGUUUUUUGUUUUUAAAAUUAUUUUUUAGGAUUUAUCUUUUAUUUUAAAUUUAUAUUACCUUUUAUUUUAUAUUAUCCUUUUAUUUUUAAUUAUUUUUUUUCAUAUUUAUCUCAUUAAUAGUAAAUAUUUUUAUUUUAAAAUAUUAAAAAUAUAAAUUUAUUCAAAAAUUGCUAAAAUAUAAAAAAAAAUUAAUGAAGUUCUAAUAUUUUAUAAAUUAAAAUUAAUUUAAUAAGAUAAAUUAUUAAUAUAUUUUUUAAUAAUUUUAAUUAAAAAAUUAACAUCUUUUAAGGGUUGAACUAUUAAAAAUAAAACAUGAUAUAACAAUGUAGGACUUAGUUGUACUUUUGUUAUCCUUUUGGUGUAUUGAUAUUAAUUUGAGCAUUUAGUCUAUGUCUUUUACACUGUACAUAACUUAUGUGCAUUAAGAGUUGUAUAUAAAAUAUAAAUCAUGAGUUCCUUGUAAGUAGAUGAUACAGUUGGUUCGUAGAUUUAGACAAUCCAAUAGAGAUUGUAGUACAUCACCUCCUAAUUGGAGAGAUAGUUUAUUUUAGCCAUCGGAAUGAGUUUCCUAUGGUGAGUGCACUAGUGUAUAUGAUGCACAUUGGAUAGGACUUAUGAUGAAUCAUGACACAAGAAUACCAGUUGUCAUAAUUUGCUAAGCUAUUAUACUGCAUAGAUUCUCAACCUUGAGAUGAUAUUAGGUUUGCACAAAAAUCAACAGGAGGCUUUAACUUAUGGAUAAAACCUUAAAGUGGUGAUAUAUCCCUAUGAUUUAGGUUACUGUUAAUAGAGGUUGUUGAUAAUAGGUAUUCUUAAUAGAGGUACCAUGAUAUCUCCAGAGAUUGAGAUAGUGUGUUCCAUUGGGUGAUUCAAACAACAUGUGAUCAUGAAAUUUAUUACCACAAUAAUUCCUUUAGUGGAAUUUGACAUAUACUCCUUGAAGUUAGAGUAUAUCAAUUGAUCAAAUAAUAAGUGAUAUUUAUAACUCAAAGAUUUGAAAGGUAAUCUUGAUAAGUGAUAAUACUACCUUGUUAGAUCACAAACACCAGUUCAUAGGGAGUCUAUAUGUAGUGGAUAGUAGAUCAUGGACCCAAGUGUCAUCUUGUUGUUGUUUACAUAGGGUAUUGAAAUGCAGUUGAUUCUCUUUAAUAAAGUGUCAAAUCAACUUCAAAAUUGGAUUAUGAGAGAGUCAAUACUCCUAUAGGUCCCAAUAGUCCCUACUCCAAGCUUAUAUACCAUGAUAACAUAGUUUAUGAGAGUUUGAUUGGCUCUAGGUUCAUUCUUGUGCAUAAGAGUGUUUUGGUAAUUACACAAGGUUGUAUAGGGAAUAAUGAACAAGGUUUCUGGAUUAGGCUAAUUGAUUAAUUAGAUGAUCCUAUAUGGUUAAUUAAUCAAUUAGGACCCAUUUUAGGUUAGAUUAAAUGACCAAGUCUUGAUGGCCUCAUGCCAUUUAAGCCUAGUGGGCAACCCUAUAAAUAGCCCCUUAAAGGGUUAGGAUUUCCUAAUGACUUUAGUUAGUCGUCUUCCACUUCCAAAAAGAGAGAUAGUCAAGGUUUCUGUUGGGAUAAAGUUCAACACAAUAUCACAAUUAAAAUCAACCAAGCAUUCACCAAAAAAAUUUUAACAUGGAAAACAUCUUCAAUGUAAGGAGUAAAAACCAUGGGACUGGAGUCCACUCAAAAAGGUUUCACUAUCAACUAAAGUGAGAGUACACAAUUUGUCCUAACAUUAAUUAGGGACCAUCAACAGCAACAAUCAUCAAGAAAAAAAAAAUUUAGCUUCACAAACAUAAACACCAAAUAAUAAAAAAGUAACAGAAAGAUAUUACAAAUUUGAUGUUCUGUUCGGAUAAACUAAUCAUUCAGAAAACUCCAAUCGAAUAUCCAACCAUUUAAAUUGAAGAACCACGAGCGUUGAACCUCCUAGUAAAAUUUCACCUCAAUCAAACAAUGGAUCAAAGAGAUAUAAGUCUUUGAUGAAGACUACAUAGAAACCGAGAUGUUCUCCUCUCCUUUUGCAUUCUACUCUAUUUGGAUGAUUAUAGUUUAUAUCUGACUACUCUAAUUGACGAUCCAACCAACCAGAAUUAAGGGGCAUAAGAGAUGAAACUAUUGUCUAAAUUUUAGCACGAUCCAAUGGUGAAAAACAAAUAUCAAGAAGAUUGAUCAACAAUGCUUUGAAGAUAUUGUAUUUCCUACCAACUCUGUUUAGGAGACUAUAUAAUGAAAUAGACAACUUCAAUCAAUAAUCCUAUCAUCCAAAAUCAACAGCUAUAAGUGAUAAACCAAUUCACCAAGUUUCGACUUAAACAAACCAUAGAUCACGAAGAUCUAUUAUUUGGAUGAAAACAACUCAUUCACUCUUCAAUUUCUUCUUUUUUUUCUCUCUUAUUCUUCUCACUCUAUAUCCUGAGAAGUGAAUUGUGGACCCGCAUUUUUUACAUAUGUCCCCACCCAAUGGGCGAAACUCACUUUUAUUCGUGAAAAAUUAGUUUUGAGAAAAAAGUUGAAGUCACCACUUAUUUUAUUUUAUUUUAAAAGGGAAAAUAAAAUAAGAAAGAAAACCCUAAAAAAGUGACUUCAUAGUUUUUGGAAAAACAUGUCUUUGAAAAACCCGAGUCUAGGUCCGGGGAUCAAGUUACCUAUUGGGAAAGUACCUCUAAAAGGUAGCAUCCCUCUAAGCCCUACAAAGGUCUCUACUGACUAAGUUGAGGGAAAUGUGGUAAUUAAUUUGGUUGAUUAUAGAUACCUAGGUAGGUUAGGUGAUUUCAAAAAUAGCAUGCCAAACAAGAAAACCAAUCACAAUCCUAAAGAAGAUUUAGGUUGUGUACCUGGACUAUUUCUCAAGCGCUAUCACAUAAACAUCAAAGUUAGUUCAAAUAGUAUAUCACCCAACAUGCGCUUUAUCAUAAAUAAUCGAACAAUGAAAUGAGUAUCAAGACAUCCACACACUAUCAAACAUAGAAGCAAUUCACAGUGACAAACAUAUUCACAUAAUUUAGAAGAUGGGUGAUAAAGGGCAUACCUGGAUGACAUAGAUAGCUUAUUAUGCGCUUCCGCAAGACAUGGGGGUUAGAUCAAAGUUAUAAUAAUGAGUAGUGAAGGAAAGAAUCCUAGCAUGUUUGGUAUCUAAAUAACAUAGAAAAAAUUAUCAAGAGUAUACGAAAACAUCAAUUAUCACACGGGUCAUAUAGGUCAGUCUUUAAUCAAUAAACGACUAUAAACGCAUAAAUAUUCAAGGGGACCUAGACAUAAAGAUCCUAAGACAGAAACUUGCACCAAAUUUUGAAAACUAAAACAUGGAAUUUUAAAAGUAUAAAUUAGUAAACAAAUUAAUGGAAACUAAAUUUAAAUAACUUAAGAAUAUUUUUAUUAUCCUUCAAUUUAAAUCAGUAAGCCAACGACGAUAAAUUAUAGGAACAUGAAAUAUCAAGAUUAAUGGGAUACCUAAACUAUAAUUUUUAAAAUAAAGUAAACUAUGCAUAAUAUUCACAAAGCAACUGAACUAACAUUUUUUUUUAAAUAUAUUAAACAUGACACUAAUGGAGUAACCAAACUAAAUUAAAGUAAACUAAAAACAAAUAUGAAUUUUCAAACAUGGAACCAACUUUCUUAAUAAAUUAUAAUUAUUAAAAUAAAAUCUAAGCUUAAAAAUGAAUUAAAUACUAACUAAACCAAAUCUAAAACCAAAUCUUUAACACAUAGGAUCUAUUAUAUUAACACAAUAAAAUUUUAUAAGAACACUUAAACCUAAAAAUGAAUUAAAAACUAACCAAAACAGAUUUUGAAACUAGAUCUUUAACCUAGGGGAUCAAUUAUAUUAACAAAUAAAUAAAUAAAAUUCAAACUUAAAGAUGAAUAAGAAAUGUACCCAAGUAAAUUCAAAACAGAAUCUUUAACACAUUGGAUCAAUUAUAUUGACUAACUAAAAAUAUAAAAACACUCAAACCUAAAACAAUGAAUCAGAAACCAACUAGAGCAAAUUUAAAACAAAGUCUCCAACUCAUAGGAUCAAUUUUAUUAAUGAACUAAUAUUAUAAAAAUACCUAAACUAAAUAAAUGAGUGAAACUAAAUCAAAGUAAGCUAAAAGCAUGAACUUUCAAAUAUAAAAUCAAUUUUAUUAAUAAAUUAAAACUGCAAAAGUACCUAAACUAAUCAAAAUGAACCAAAUUAAAUUAAAGCAAUCUAACAACGUGAACUUUCAAACAUGGGAUUGGUUUUAUUAAUGAACUAAAAUCAUAAAAGGGCCUAAAAUAACUAAAAUGAACCAGAUUAAGUGAAAGCAAACUAAAAGUGUGAACUUUCAAAUGUAAAAUCAAUUUUGUCAACGAUCUAAAAUUACAAAAAAAUAUUUGAACCAAAUAGAUGAAUUAAAUUUAAUUAAAGUAGACUAAAAACAUGAUUUUUUUUUUCACAUAAAAUUGAUUAAACCAAAAAAAUCAGAAAUUCACGAACACAUCUAAACUAAAAGAAAAAUCAACACUAAUCUAAAUCGGAAUGAAAAUUAAGAACUUUAUCAUGAGGAAUUAAUUAAACUAAUUAUAAGAAACAUCUGAGUUAACGAAAUAAACUAAAAUUAAACUAAAAUAAAAUUUUAAAAAAGAACUUGCCUUAAAGAAUGCGUGUUGCAGUGUCUUACUAGAGAAUGGUGCGUGGCUGAUGUGGUGAGGUGUGGGCAGAUGGCGACUAGUUGCAGCGUGAGGAUGGUUGUCUGAAGACCAGCGAGGUGGAGAUGUAGGUGUGAUGCUCAAAUGAUGGAACUAGCAUGCUAGUGCAGAUCUUCAAUGGUUGUGGAGUGUUCUCCUUCAAAAAAUAGGGAUGAUGCCCAGAAGUGCCACCCGUGGAGGCUCUAUUGGUGCGUGGACUGCUUUCUCCUCAAAGUGGCAGCUGUGUGGAUGAAGACUUGAUGCGUAGACUGGCAGUGGAUGCAUCCCGUGGGGAUGAAGACUUGAUGCGUGAACUGGCGAUGGAUGCAGCCCGUGGGGAUAAAGACUUGAUGCGUGGACUGCGGUGGAUGCAGCCCGUGGGGGAAAGACUUGAUGUGUGGACUGGCGGUGGAUGCAGCCCUUGGGGAUGAAGACUUGAUGCGCGGACUGGCGGUGGAUACAGAUCGUUGGGGGGUGGGGGGGNNNNNNNNNNNNNNNNNNNNNNNNNNNNNNNNNNNNNNNNNNNNNNNNNNNNNNNNNNNNNNNNNNNNNNNNNNNNNNNNNNNNNNNNNNNNNNNNNNNNGUGUGUUUCGUUCAUUGAGAUGGGGAAUAUGUAUAAAGUGCGGGUGCUCAAAUCACUUUUCUGGAUUUUGAGUGAGAAGAAUAAGAGAGAAAAAAAAGAUGAAAUUGGAGAGUGAAUGAGUUGUUUUUGUCUCAAAUAAUUGGUUUUCGUUAUUUAUAGUUUUUUUAGGUGUGAGGGUAUGGGGCGGGGGGGCAUGCAGCUACAAAUUGCAGCGUGGAGUUGGUGCUGAAGGUGUGAACGAAAAUCUAAAAUUUCCUAAGAAGAAGACGUCGGAAAUGGAGAUGCCAACAGAAACUUGAAACCUCCUCUUAGACCAAGGCGUACUCCUCAGCCUUUCUAAGGAGAUUUGAUGCACCCAAAAACCAAAAGAAUUUUGAGAUGCAAAUGCCGAGAUGAGAAGAUAUCGGUUCGAUGAUGAUUAAUACGGCAUUGCAGGUGUUUCUUGUUAUGGUGAUGGGAGAAUGAUCAAGACCAGCGGACUGGCAGUGGUGAAGCCAAUGUUCCCGUGGUGAGACGUCUGGUUGAUCUGAGAGAAAGCACGCUGCUGAUGAACAUCUCAAGACAGAGACAAGUGGUAAUCUCUAGUUGUAGCCCUUCUUUCCAAGUCAAUGAUGGAGAUGUGAGUGACGAUCAACUAUGAAGAUGGCGCUCACGGUUACAAAGAAUGACGUCUGCCCUUGCUAAAUUCUUCAAAACCCCUCAUGUAUCAAUCCAGAACUCUAUUUUUUCCCGAUCGCCCUCCUAGUGCUGGAAGUUUCCUUUCAAAAAAACUUCUUCCUCCUCCUUUGUAUCUUCCCCAAAAAUCCUCUUCAUUCAUCCACCAGAAUGUUGGAUAUCUCUCAUCCACAUGCUGCUGAAUCACCCUCCCAUAAGCGUCAUUUUCAUAUUGGAUCAGAAUUUCUCUUCCUUACCUCUCACAGCCCUCCUUCCCAUAAUCAUCCUUCUCAUCACGCUCAGAAUUUCUCUUCAUUCUGAACACAGCCCUCCUUCCCAUCCAUAUACAUGCUGAAUCUUUCCUUUUCACCUCUCCAUGUCAGCUCCUCUUUCUUUCCUUCUUCAUAUCUAUUGUGGGCUGAAUGCCACCACUUCAUAGCCCUCCAAUCUUCCUUCAAAGAUAUUCUCCAAUACUUUCCAUCACCUACCAAAUCAUAUCCUCCAAAAUAUGCUGAAAUUCUCUCCAAGGUGUGGUCUCAAGCUUCCAAAAAAAGGUGUUGACUCUCCUUCUUCAUGGACUCCUCUCUUGGGAACGUCUUCCAAUUCAAAAAAACUUUCUUUUCAUGUGCCUUUUGGUAAACCUUACCAAAAGACCACCAAAACUAAAUCCUACACCUUUUCACGUCAAAGUACAAUUUGGUAUCUUCCAAAAACCUUCCUUUUCACAUGCUAAUCAAAUUUGGUACUCUACCAUCUUAAAAAUGGCAUCCUUAGUGUCAUCUCAUGCCCAUGGACUUUCUUCUUUUUCCAAUUGGUUUGGUUCCCUACAAAAGCACACAACUAUUAGAUUAAAUAAAUGAAUAAAAGUUGCCUUUUAGAAAAUGAUAAAAAAUAAAAAUAAAAAUAAAAUAAACAAAAUAAUAAAUAAAAUAAAUAAAUAAUAAAUAAAAAAAUCAAGUGUCAUGUAGGUCAUGUAAGAAUGUCACGAAACCAUACAAACAUGCAAAAAUUACUUGAAAGGUGACUUAAGUAGGACAGAGUGUGCCUAAAUGAACCUAAGUGGGUCAAGUGCAUCUAAAUGGGCCUAGGGUGCUUAAGUAGGCCUAAAGUGGUGCAUAAUGGGCCAAGUGCAUCUAAAUGAGUCUAGGAUGCCUAAGUGGGUCUAAGGUGGUGCCUAAUAGAUAAAGUGCAUCUAAAUGGGUUUAGGGUGCCUAAGUGAGCCUAAGGUGGUACUGAAUGGGCCAAAUGCAUCUAAAUGGGCCUAACAAGGAUUAAAAAUAAAAUAAAACAAAACCUAAGUCUAAAUUAAGGAUGCCCAUAAUCACAAUGGGGUCAGAUGGGUCUCUCAACUAGAGUCUCCAAGGUGGCGUCUAAUGGGACACCAGGGAAUUAUUGUAAAGUACCAAACGAACAUGUAAUAGGAUGUGUGCUAGUAGGACAAAAUAGAGGGUCUACAUGAAUCCUUUUUGUGGUUGUCAAAAAAUACCCUAUACCAAAAGACAAAAAUGUCCAUAUCAUAUGGGCUUUGUUGGGUUUGACAUAUAUGGGUCAUCCUUCAACAAUUUCCGUUCUUCCAAAUUAAGUCCAUACUUUGGAGUACCAAGAUCGUGAUUUGAGACAUCCAACGAAAGAUCUUGGGUGUAUGAGACCUCUAGACGAUUUAGGCAUGUUCUUCAUCAAAUGGAUUUUGAUAUAGGAACAUCCAGAUCACAAGUAUGAAUUUCAAAUCUUUAUAUCUUUAUUUUAAAAUGGUUUUGAAAUCAUUAUUUUCCAUUGUGUUAGAUCUAGAAAUAUUUAGGAUUAGAUGCAUACACCCUACGAGAUUUAGGGCAUGGAAACGAAGUAAUUCAAGGUUCCCAACAAUUAGAACAAAUAAAAAUUAGAAUAAGUUCGUCAAAUAAAACUUUCAUUAUAGAAAAAUAAAGAAUACCUUAGUAAUGAAAGAAGUCAAAAUAAUCAUGCGGACAUAAUCAUUAACGUGAUUGUGGCCAUGGAUAUAAAAGGAGAGGUGACUUCAAUUAACCAAACAAUGAAGGAACAAGUCAAAAUUCAUAUUUCUCUUGAGGACAUGGAAACAAGCAAAAUCCAAGGUAAAAUGAAAUGUAAAAUGAAAGAUAUGAUGAAUCUCAACUUCAAUAUAAAAUAUGAUCUAAUGAAUAUAGAAGUCAAUUUAUUUCAAAUAUAUACUAUGUGAUUAACAUGAAAAAUAAACUCAACUCUUAGAGAGAGUUAUAAUAUUCGCAUGAAAAAUUAAAAUCUUUCAAAAAGAAAUCAGUGCCAAUUUAAUUGUUAAAGCCUCCACGACAAGAAAUAGGAUGUUCUUGUCAGACAUUCAAAAUGAAGUUGCAAAAUACCUAAAAUAUAGUGUCAAUAAUUCUUCUUGGAUUUUGUACUUAUGAUUUGAACAUCUUAAUAUUUAAGGAUUGAAAUUAUUAACUAAUUAAGAAAAAAAAGAGUCAUGAAAGAAUUAUUCUCUGUUAAUCACCUUGAUCAAGGAUGCAACUAUAAAUACAAAGAAUUCUCUAGGACUCAUUCAUGCAGAUGUAUGCAAACUGAUUCAUUUAAAUUCUUUUAGUAAAAAUAAUUUUUAUUAAUGAUUUUAAAAGGAAUACUUAGAUGAAGAAAAAAUUCCACUAUUUAGUACUCUUAAGAAAUUUAAAACACUUAUUGAAAAAAAAAGUGACUACAAUAUAAAGAUAAUAGCAUCCGAUAAAGAAGGUAAAUUAAUUUAUAUCAAAAUAAUUUGAAAAAUAUUAUAAAACUCAUGAGAUACUAUAUAGCAAAUUGCAACUAGUACUACUUCAAAAGUUAUUGAUUCCUUUUUAUGUUUUUAUUUAAAGUCUCUUUUAAAUUUAAUGCAUGAUUCACCAGCAAUAGGAAUAUCGUAUCUCAAAGAGUGUACCACAACAAUGGAAGUAGUUCAAAAAUUAUUACUACUCAAAAUACAUAUAACCUUGCAUAUUAUUUUAAUAUUAAUGUGAUAGUGCUUAGAGACAUCAUCAUUCAACUUAAUUAAAAUUGUAUGAAAUAGGAUAAUACAUCUUAUGUAAAUAAUGCCAAGCUUUAAAUUCUCUUAGACUAUGACUUUCAAUAUCACAUAUGAAGGAAGGAGGAAGGUGACAUGUGUUUCUUUUAUGACCCUUGAAUGCGUCCCAUUUUGGCUUAAAUUUGAAUAGAAAUUAAUAUUGAGGUGUUAUGUAAAGUUUUUUUUCUUUUUCAUUAAAGGAAAAUAAACAUAUACAACAACAAGACCUAAAUUAAAAAAAACAGACCAUAUUCAAAUAUUUUAAAUCUAUUAAUUAAGAUUACAGACAAAAAUACAAAUUAAUGGAAUCACAAUGUCAGUGACUCAUCUUUGUAUUGGUCAAGAUAAAAUAAACUUUUUUAUUUUUCAUAGAAAAUAUUUCAAAUUAUCAUGAUAUAAUAAAUUUAGAACUGGGAAUUUUUAAUUUAAUUAUAGUUUUUUUUUUUUGAGAAAGAAAAAAAAAUGGUGAGUUGGAUGAGCAAGCCUUAAGCCCCUUAUUGAUAAUGGUUGUGAAAAAAAAAUGGAUGACAUAUAAUCCAUUAACUACUAAAAUUUAAAUCCUUUAUAAUAAAAUUAUUUGGUGCCAUGAGAAGAAACUUCUUUGCCUACUUUAUACUCCAUGAUUUCUUUAAUUAAUCAAAACUCAUCUUUCCCCAUAGGACUCUCUUUUUUAUCUUCAUCUAAACCCCAUGAGGUAUGAAGUUUCUUAACUAAGGGUUAGUUUAUGGCAUGGAAUAGCAUUUUUUUUUUUUUUUGUCUCGUCAUCGUGGUUAUCCAAUCUCAUUUACAUCUUUUUUUAAACCAAAAAGAAUUCAAAGUUCUAAUUGAAAGGCAAAACAGUUGUAGUAUUACGAUAUUGAAAUAUGAUAGAAGAGAGUUUAACCUCAACAAUAAUUGAAAGGCAAAAGUCAAGGUAUUCAAUAAUAGUUGGCAACUAGCUAUAAACCUCAACAAAAUGGUAUAAGAAAAAAAAAAAAAACCAUUAUGGAAAUGACAAGAAGCAUGUUGAAAGCCAAAUCAUUUCCAAAAACCUUUUGGGCAGAAGUUAUUACAUGUACAGUGUUCUUGUUGAAUAAGUGUCCUACUAAAACAAUCUUUGGAAGAAUGCCUAAGGAAGCCUAGAGUGGUCAUAAGCCAGAAGUUUCCCUUUUGUGAGUUUUUAGGUGUUUUGCAUAUUCCCAUAUACCAAUAAAGGUUACAAACUAUAUAAUCCAGAAUCAAGGAAGUUGAUUGUGAGUAAAGAUGUUCAAUUCCUACAAAAUGAGAGUUGGACAUGAACUCAAAAACAAAGUGACAAAAAAGAAGUUUUCAUUGAAGAAGACUUUGUUGAAGGCAAUGAGCAUCAGGAGGAUUCUAUAACAUAUGUUUCUAUUUCAAACACAUUUUAAACUAUUAGAAUUUCUCCCAAACAUUCUUAUAUUAUGUCUACACAUUUAAAAAAUAUGAAGUCAUGAAAGAUACCAAAAUUACUAAUGAAGUUAACUUUUGUCUAUUUGGAUAUUAUGAUCUAAUUUUGUAUGAAGAAGAAACAAGUGAUGAGAAGUGAAUUCAAGCAAUGAAUAAAGAAAUUGAGAAGAACAAUACAUGGGAGCUAACUACUCUACUAGUGGGAAAGAAGCUUAACUGUGUUAAAUAGAUUUAUAAGAUAAAGUAUAAACAUAAUGGUAAAGUUGUUUAGUUUAAGGUAAGAUUGGUCACAAAAGGCUAUAAAUAGAAGUCAGGUAUUGAUUAUUUUGAUGUUUUUGCACCACUUGUUAGACUAUAUACCAUUUGCAUGAUAAUUGCACUUACGGUUAAAAAAGAAAGGGAAAAUUCACUAAAUAAAUAUGAAGUUGGUUUUCUUAAUGGUAUACUUGAAGAAGAGGUUUUUCUUAAACAACCACUAGAAUAGAUUAAGGAAAAGAGAAACAAGUUUAUAACUCAAAAAAGUGUUAUGUAGGUUAAAGUAGGCACUAAGUGCUUGCUACACGUGAAUUGAUGCUUAUUUAUUACAACAUGGCUUUCAAAAAUGCCUUUUUCAGCACAUACUUUACAUCAAGUCAAAUGUUAAUGGUGAUGUAAUUGUUGUAUACUUUUAUGUGGAUGAUUUAUUUUUUAUAGGAAAUUGUCAACGGAUGAUUGAAGAUUUCAGGAAGGCAAUGACUUAAUAAUUGGAGAUAACAAAUUUGGGAUUAAUGUCCUAUUUUAUUGGAAUUAAAAUCCAAUAAACAGAUGAUGGUAUCUUUACCUCACAAAAAAAGUAUGUAGUAAGCAUUCUAAAGCGAUUCAAGAUGAAAUUAUAAUAAGCAAUUUGUACUCCCCUUGUAGAGUAAUUAGAGAUGAAAAAAUUAAGACAUUGGAGAAUUAGUAAAUCUUACAUAUUUCAAUGGCAUAAUAGGAAGUCUUUAAUUGUUAUGUGACUAUUAGACCAAAUAUUGCUUAUGAAGUGGGAAUUAUCAAUCAAUUUAUGGAUAAAUGAUAUUAGUCACAAUUGCAAGCAACAUAGCAAAUUUUAAGGUAUGUAAGUGGUGCUCAUGAUCAUAGAAUUUUCUACUCCUACUCAAAGAACUUCAGUUUGGUGAGUUGCAUGAUAAUAACUGAAGAGGUGAUGUAGAGACUAGAAAGAGUACUUGUAGGUAUUUUAUUUUUUAUUUUUAAUCUUGGAAUAUGAGCAUUCUCAUGGUCAUCAAAGAAACAAGAAGUUAUGGCAUUAUCAAUUUGACUUUACGGGAUACUCAAUGAAUUGAAGUAUGAACAAAAAAGUCCUACGAAGAUUUUGUAUAAUGAUAAGUUUGCUAAUGCAUUAACAAAUAAUCUAAUGUUUCAUUGUAAAAGCAAACACAUAAGCAUCAAAUUUCAUUACAUUAUAAACUCAUGAAAAAUGAUGAGAUUGAACAUUGAGUUUUGCAAAUCAAAAGAUUAAGUUGCAUAUAUUUUUACAAAGUCAAUAAAAACAUAUGUACUUGAGAAGUUGUAGAUGGUACUUGGUAUGAUUAACUUUAUAGCUUGACAUAAGGGAUACUAUUGAAAUUUUAAUUCAACUUAAAAUCAAAUUAGAAAAAUUUUAGAAAUUUGAGAAACAUUAGAAAUUGUUAUUUACUUAAGUUUCUUAUGUUAAUUGGAGUUUUGGUUUAAUGUGAAUUCGAGUCAUAGUACAAGCAUGGUUAAUUUAUUAUUAUGUUGAAAAAAAUAUAAUAGAAUGUAAUAAAAUAUUAUCAAUACCCAAAUGUGAAUAAAAGGUUGAUGGCCAAUCCAUCGGCAAUAAUGUUUGGUCGAUCAAGCUUCCUUAGUUGAUUGGUUGAGUAAGGCAAAAAGGCAUGUUAAUUUUAAGUCCUAAUCCUACUCUAGGGUGUUUUGAAGAGAGAAAAAAAAAAAAAAGAAAGAAAAAGAAAGCUUUGAGAUUAAUUAUUUAAGUAACUUAAACGUAAUUGGACUAAUAAAGUAUGGAUUAAUAUAAAAUAAAUAAAUAAAAACCGAGUUCGACUGCCUAUUUUGAUUACUCCUUGUAUGUAUGCCUUGACCUUUGACAUUUCUAGGGUUUCUUCUCACGUCCAGUUAAAAAGGAGAUCAAUGCACUAUUGCAUUAUAUGUGUAAAAUACUUCUUUCAUCUAUGUCUUGGGUGAAAGAUAUAAGAAUUUAAUUUUAUGCCCUAAUUUUGGGGUGGGGGUGAGGGGGUGGGGCGGGGUUUCCUUUCAUUUUUGGUAUAAAUUACGUAGACCACUUUUAGUUUGCUUUAAAUAAGAUGGAAAUAUCAUGAUAGAAAUUGAGUAGGUUUCCAAUUACAUAUUAAAUUAAAUUUGACAUGACAAAAAUUUGUCAUAGAAAUAAUAAUUAAAAAAAAUGCAAUCAAAGCACAUAGGUUGGCUUUUAAGUGGAUAAAUUAAUAGAAUUAUGGUCCAACUAAGAGAAUUUGAAUUUUGCCACAUCAAAAUUCCUACAACGGAAAUUAUACUAGAAUUUGAACUAGAAUAGAUAUUAGUUAGAUUAAAUUGGAUUUAUUUAUAAAAAAAAUUAAUUUAAUAUGUGGUAAGAAAUCAUUUUAAUUUUGGGAUGGUAAAUUUUGGAAUGUUAUUUUUUCAAUAAUUCAAAGUGGGUAAAUAUAUAGUAUGAAAUCAGCUUAAUAUUAAUUGGAUGCAUGAAUGCCAAGCCAUUCCAAGGUUGGUUGAUUGAUUGAAUGGGUAUAUAACUAGAAUAUUCAUAAGCUUUAAAAUGUUGGGAUGUUGGGUGGGUAAGAAUUAAAGUGAAGGAAAAGUCAAACCUAAUUGGAGCAUCACUAAUCAUGCACUUUGUAAAUUUGUUUCAUUCGAUAUGUAUAGUAAUUAUCCGAUAAAUAAAAGAGAAUUAAGCAAAUGAAAUGAUUUAAUCCAGCACACAUUGUGUCAAACAGGACCCAUCCAAUUCAUGCGAGGUCAUAAUUGUCCUUUGGUAAUGAAGUGACAUAACUUGUGAAGUAAGCGUAAUGAACCCCCUCCAUUUCAGCUGUUGAUUUCGGUGGUAUUUAAGACCUCCCGCUGAUAUCGGUGGCAUUAAAAGCCAACACAUUCCUCACUUGACUUCUGCUUGAAAUUUAUCUAUAUCUCUCUCCUAACACCAAAGGCCAUCUUCGGCUUGAAAAAGUGGAAACCAAUCAUGCCCUUCCCUAAUCACAACAAACCAAAAAAUUAAAACAAAAACAGUUUCACAAUAUUAUCAAAAAUAGUUACCAAAAUUGUAAGUUCAAAAAUAGAGAACUGGUAUUAAAAACAGAUAUGAAGGGGAUGCUUAGCUAUCAUUUCUAAUAUAGGGUAUAACAAAGGACUAACUUUAUGACUAUACAUAGCUGUCAUGAUACUUCCUACUCAAAUCCCAAAUCUCCUAUUAAUUAUAAAGAGAAUGAAUUAAUAAUCCUGUCAAUUAAGCCUUCAAAAAAUCUUAUAGGUAUUUUGGUGAAAGAACUGGUCAAAUAAAUAAUGAUAAAAAUAGUAUUUUAGUUAUGAAAAUCUAGUAAAGAGGAUGGGUUGGAACCUUUGUCCCCACCAAAAAAUGUGGCAAUCAUUAUCGAACAUGGGUGCCACCCCAGAGUUGAAACUUUAUGCCUCUCACCCAACCACCCCACAAAUUGUUUAUUAUAUAUACACAAUGUUUUGGUCUGGUUCUAGUGCAAUGACUCCUUACAACUCUCCCAAUUAUGAGUCCAUGGCACUGUGUUCUUGUCAUCUACCUCAUCUUGAUCACAUCAAGCAGUGCUGUUGAUGCAAUCACCAAGCCCAGCAGCAGCAGCAGCAGCUACCUGAGCCUUGCGAACCAGUUCUUGGCUCCCCACAAUGCCGCCCGCACGGCGGUGGGAAUGAGGAGGCUGGUGUGGGAUUCCAAGCUGGCGCACUAUGCAGAAUGGUAUGCGAACCAGAGGAGGAGGGACUGUGCCUUGAAGCACUCAAAUGGGCAGUACGGAGAGAACAUCUUCUGGGGUAGUGGCAGUGGGUGGACACCAGCUCAGGCUGUUGCAGCUUGGGUUUCGGAGCGCAGGUGGUACGACUACGGGUCCAACUCCUGUGCUUAUGGCCAAGAAUGCGGACACUACACCCAGAUUGUGUGGGGCUCAACACGGAGAGUUGGGUGUGCCAGGGUGAAUUGUUAUGGUGGUAGGGGUGUCUUCAUCACUUGCAACUACGACCCUCCUGGGAAUUACAUUGGAGAGAGGCCUUACUGAGACAUUUUACCCUAUUUUAUCAUUUUUAUGGUGGAUGACUCUGGUAAUAUGAACACUUUUGGGGGUCCUCUUUUUGUUUUUUUCCAGCUCUUUAUAAUCCUAUAUUAAUUUAUCUAUUAUUAGAAUCUAAACCUAAGGAAAGAAUAAGAAAAAAUAAAGGGCAUGCAAGAGAAAAAAAAGUCGCAACUGGUGCUACAAAAAUGCUGCUACACAUUGUAAGGAUGGUUUCAAUGUUUUCACACCUAAGUUCCACUUAUUGAGGAUGAUAUUUCAAUGUUGUCAAACAAGUAAAUGGAAAUGGGUUAUGUUGAUUUUUCUUCGAGAUCAUCCACAUCCUCAUAAUAGUCUAACUGGUUGUUACUUUUUCACUAAAUUUAUGGCGGAAUUUGAGAUGCUGACUGAUCAUUUGUCUUUUUGUUUUUGUUUUUGAGUGUAGGAAAAGAAUUCUAAAUUAACUUAGCCUCGUUCUCACCUAACUCCUUUUCUUAUCUUGAGUCUCACCCCAUUUAUCAGGAAGCAAUUUAAACAAAUAUAUUCCAAAAAUUGUGGUUGAAAUUGGGAACUAGACCCGGAAGCAUAUGUAAGACGACGUGGAGCUGCUGCUCCUCACUCAAGUCAAGAAUAAAAAUAAUAAUAAAAAAAAAAAUGCAAGCUUCCGCAUAUAUACAUCAAGUAGUGCAGUGGUCUAGCUAAGUAUCCUAAUUCACAGGCAAUAGUCAAGGAGAGAAUAAGGCUACAAUCAAGGGAAAAUAUUAUGCAGAGAUCUCCCACAAAUAUUUAUCCUUAAUACUUUUUAUUCUGGGGAACUCCCUCCUUGAGAAUUAAGGCAUUAUAACAGACCUGACCCGGAAUUAAUGCUUAACCUAAGCAUGUCCCUUACCCAGGUAUUAAUAAAUUUGAUUACAUUGUUGGAACCCACAGGUAGGGUUGGUUAUUGACAAUAUUUUUACUAAACUAAUAUUUUAUUGCAUUCCUUUCAUCUCUUUUCACUAAUAUAUAUAAUUAAGGGUGAAAAUAUCAGUAGUUGAAUUUGACAAAUAUAUCAAGAAAUAUUGAUAAAAUUUUUUAUAAAAAAUAUUGAUGGAAGAAAUUUUAAGAAAAAAUAUAAUAAGAAAUAACACUCAUAUUCAAGUUGUUACUUGUAAAUAAUGUGUAAUAUUUAUGUAUAAUAUAGUUUGUAAUAUUCAAUGUUAAAUUAAUAUUAAUAUAUAAAGAACUUGAAAAUAUAUUUUAUACAAAAAUAUGUAAUUUAGAUGCAUUUAAUGAUACAAAAGAAAUUAUUAUAUAUAUGUAUAAUUUUUAAAAUAUUUAUAGUUUUUUAAUAUUUCUAUUAUAUUUAACUAAUAGAAAAGAGAAAUUAAUAAAGACUCAUUAAUAUAUAUAUAUAUAUAUAUAUAUAUAUAUAUAAUUCUUUUAAGUGAGCUUGAGUCUAAUCCCAAGAAACUUAUGGUACUAUUUGUAAUAACAUAACAACUAUUGAGAUUGCAAAUAACCUAAUACAACACGAUUGAACUAAGCGCAUUGAACUUGAUUGGAACUACAUUAAGGAUUAUAACUUUAUAGUCAAGAUUAUCAUACCGUGUUUGUUACUAAAAAUAUCAAAUUUUUUAUGAAGACUAUAUGAUAUGUAAAAAGGUAAAUAGUGAUAUAGAUUAGAAAACACUAGAAGAUAGUCCUACUAUACACAAGACAACAUAACAUUCCUAUUAGUUCCAGUAGAUGAGUACCUUAUCAUAGCGGAAGCUUUAUACCUCAUAGAUUAUGAUGAAGCAAUAAGCGUGUUGGUGCUUAUAACUCGGCAAGGAGCUACAAAAGGAUAGUUGGAAUUCUUAUGAUUCUAAUGUAUUCCAGGUUCCUAUAGAAGCAUCUAAAGGGAUAAAACUCAUAGGUGUAAGUUGAUCUAUAAGAGAAACAAAUGAGUAGAUGGAAAAGUUGAGAUUUAUGUAUCUAGGUUGUAGUUAAAGGUUACUAUCCGAAACAUUGUUUCUACUAUAAGGAACAUUUACACUAGUAGCCAUACUCAAAUCCAUUGGAGUACUCAUAUGCAUUGUAGUGUAUCUAAUUUAUGAAAUAUUGUAGUAAGAUGUCAAGAUAGUGUUCUUAAACAAUUAUCUUGAUAUUAGCAUUUACAUGAUAUAUAUAACCAAAUAUUUUCAUAGCAAAGAGUCUUGUGUGUACAAGAAAGUGCAAGAAAGCAUGGCAGUACUCUAAGAUCUUGUAGAUAGAUGACAAUCAACUUAUUGAGAAUGAUGUAAGGAUAUUGUCAUUAGUUAAGAUCUAGUUGUUUACUUGGCUCUAAAUGGAAAUCUAGAAGUGGCAUAAUAUAUUCUUAGGUUUAAAGUCCUUAGGGAUUACAAGAAUAGGAAAAUUACACUAUGUCAAGCAUAUACUCAAGUAUUUUUAGAGAAUGAGAGGUUAUCUGCUUGUGUUCCAAAGUGUUGAUAUAGUAUAGAGGGGUGAUGUAAUGAUUGACAAGAUACCUUCUAUGGAGAACCUGAUGGAUCCCUUCACCAAGACAUUGAUAGGGAGAGUCUUUGUUAGUCAUAAGGAUUGCAAAAGUUUCAAAUGAAUAUCUAGUAUGCUUUGAUAGCAUGAUGCUUUAUGGGCUAGUGGGAAAAUGUUAGGAUAGAGCUCUUAAAAGUAUGACAUGAUGUAACAGAUUUGGAAUUCAUUUUUUAUUAAAUGAUAUUUCAGUUUCACUUUUAUCUAUCAUUUUUCGACAUUAAACUUUAUGAGCAUUCUCACCUAGUAUCUUUAACAUUAUACAUUAUUUGAAUGUAUUAGGAGUUGUACGGAAGAUCUAAGGUAUGAGUUCCUUACAAGUAGAUGACUUGUUCACAAUCGAUUCAUGAACUUAGGCAAUCCUUAAAGUUUGUAGUGCACUACCUUAUAAUUAAAGGAAUGGUUGGUCUUGACCAUCAGAAUGGAUUCCCCAAGGUGAGUGCACUAAUGUGUAUGGUUACACAUUGGACAAGACCUAUGGUGAAUCAUAAGACUAUCAAGUGGUUAUGACCUCACCAAGUAGCUUCAUUCUAUUGUCUCUCAACCUUGAGAAAAUAUUGAGUUUGUGCUAAAGUUAAUAGUGACAUUGACCUAAAAAUCAUAAGUUGAUCAUAUAUUCCUAUGGAUUGAGUCACUAUUGAUGGAAUUCGAUAGCAAUUGGUAUUCUCAAUAGGGGCACCAUGAUAUCUCAUGGGAUUGAGACAUAAUGUCCCCUUAAAUGAUCCUAAGGAGGUAUGUUAAUGAAAAAUAUGUUUAUAGUAGUUCCUUAAGUAGAACUUGACAUGGGCUCUUAAAGGGCUAAGACAUGUAAGUUGAACACACAAUAGGACAAUUUGUAACUCAAGGAUAAUGAAGAUAGUCUUGAAAGACUGAUAGCUUUCACCAUGUUAAACUACGGAUACUAGUUCAUGGGGAAACUAAAUGCAAUGGAUAGUAAGUCACAAACUCGAGCACUUAAUGUCUCAUUGUUAUUUACAUAUGGUACUGGAGUGCAAUUGAUUCUUUGUUAUAAGAUGUUGAAUCAACUUUAGAAUUAGAUCCUAAGGGAUUCGGUAUUGUCUUAUAGGUCCCAGUGGUCCCCACUUAAGCUUAUAUACCUUGUUAGCACAGUCUGUGAGGGUUGGAUUGGUUAAGGUUCACUUUUAUGCAUAAAGACAUUUUGGUAAUUAUGCAAGGUUGCACAAAGGUAAGUGAACAAGGUAUCUGGAUUGGGUUAAUUGAUUAAUUAAUGGGCACUAUUGGGUCAUUAAUUAAUUAAGACCCAAUUUAGGCUAAAUUAAGUGACCUAAGCCCUUUAUAGGCUCAAGUCACUUAAGCCCAUAGAAACCCUAUAAAUACUCUCUUAAGGGUUAAGGUUUCCAUAGUUUUUCCAUAGAAUUAUCUUCCAUCUCUAGAGAGAAAGAGAGUCACAGUCUUCACCCUCUCUUCCCCCUCAUUGAAAGUGUGUCAAGAUCAAGAAAGAUCCAUCGAGCAAAAGAUCUUGGGUCUAUAAGACUUCCAACGACAUCGAUUUGAUUCCUCAACACUUACAUCCAAGGUUUGGGAGCAUUCAAACCUAAAGGUCGGUACUUUAACCCUAAAAGAUCAAUUUUUUGAAAAAUUGAUAUUACUUCCAUUGCUUAUAUUUAAGAUGACAACAAAGAUAACCUAGAUUCUAACAUGAUAAAGGUUUCAUACAUCAAGAGUACAAAUCAGUUGGUGGUUAUGAUGACUUAUGUUGUUACUAGUUGUCUGUUCUAUGUAUCAUUAUCCAAGUUGGGCAUGUAUAAUAUCUAUGCACCAAAUUGAAUAGAAGAGUUAGCAUACAUUCAUAGUUGUGAUUUACAACUAUAAUUGAUUAUAUAGUUGUGAUUUGCACAAUUGUAUUUUUUUUUUUUGGUAUAGUUAUCUAUUAUUUGCAUAGUUGGCUAUCUUAAAAUAAUCUUAUAUACUCGUAUAAAUAUACUUGAGAUAUAUGAAAAUAUUCAUUCCAUAAUUUAUGUUAUAUAUGUUGAUGUUAGAUCAACUGGAGUCAAAUCCUCCUCGCGUUGUGCCUCUCAGAGCUUCUGUCCAACAAUGGAAGACUAGACAAGCUUCUUCCAUACACAAAGGAUGUCUAGAUAGGUAGUCCGGGCAUACCCCUCCGAAACCUAAGUUAGACACAGGUAGGUUAGACCCUAUCAGGAAGAGAAUGAAUAGGCCAGCUUAAGUGCACGUACCUGGAUUAUGCUUCAGAAAGGCUUUUUAUAGUGCUUAGGAGAAAGCCAUUGUAGUGCUGACUAAGCACUUUGACCUUAUCUAUAAUGAUGGCUGACCUGCAGGUGGCAGGGCAAUCAUUACAGUUUUGGAUAGCUAGCAAGUGUCACUAGAAGUUGUGUCAUGAUGUUCAAUCAUGCAUUUGCCUGUCCCUUCAACUUGUUGGAGGUAUGGGACAGUGCGUGAUAAUUAAUGGACUUGGACGUGAGAAUUGGGGGAGAUCCCAUCAGCCACUUCCAUGUCAGAUGGAAAUUAUUACACGUAGCAAGGAGGACUUUAAGGCUGGCUGGAAAAUGUCGUCCGCUUAAGGAGUCCAAUGCCAUUUGUCAUAUGUCUGUGUGGUCCAGAUGGAAGGCUCUGAACAUUGUGGCAACUAUCCGGGCAAUUUUGAGGGAAAGUGACACGUGGACUGACACAUGGAGAAGAGUCCCCACAAUGCCCUUUUUAAUCUGUGUACCUACGUCCGAGUAGAGGUAAAUGGGUUAAAUGUCUCUUCGAAUUAUCCCAAUGUUUGUGAGACACGUGUCACUUGGGGGUUUCAAUGAGGGUCGUUUUCACCGAGGCCACCUAUCAGGUGGCGCGUUGCUUUAGGGUGCGCUUCUAGGCGGCCUGUCUUUUGGGAUCCCUAGGGUUUCGGUCUCCUAUAAAUAGGGGACUCUAGACCUUCUGGGUUACCUUUUUGGACAUUUUUGCUUUUAGAGCUUCUUCUUCUUCUUCCAGUCUUCUGCAUUUGUGUUGUUAUAACUAUGGUCAUUGCCCAUCUCUUCCCAUUGUUUUACUGCUACUUUCGCACUUGCCUCGAUCGGGUUUUCUUCUACUAGAGGACUCUUUCCCCUUAUAUCGGUAAGCUCGUUCACCAUUCGCAUUGGUUUCUUUUCUUCUUUUUACUAUUCAUUUGUUUUGUUGUUGGGGAUUGCUUUUUAGAGUCUGUGACUCUUUGGAUGUAAAGUGGAUGCUGCGAAAUCCAAAAUAUAGGGCUUUGGUACUUUCCUGGAUAAGGUAGUUGUCAUUGGGGGAAAGAUUGAUAGGGUUUUUCACAUGCUUCUUUUUUGUUGGUCCCUUAAAGAGUAUACUCAAGCCUUCUGGUUUGAGGUUAUUGUGGUGGUAUGGUGGAUGAGUGCUUGGUUAGGGCUUGCUUUGCAAACGGGGCUAGGUAUCUUGCUCAGGUGUGGGCUUAAGACCCGCAUAGGCUACUUGUUGUACAUCUCAGGCACUACAUGUUGCCAGAAAGGUCGGGUGACUAUUUUCUAACAAUCGGCGUUGUGUUGUGCAGGUCUCACGUGGCACAGUGUUUCAAUAUGUCAACAAGAGGGGACAUUGCUUCGACCAAUACGACUAGUAAAGGCCAGAAAGGUGGCUAGAAGAGAGUGGGCGUCGAACGCACCUAGAAGGAGCGCCCAACUGAACUUCUAUUUGAACGGGAGUUCCGAGAACGUUUUCGCAUCCUGAACGACAGCGAACCUACCCCCACUGAAAAGCAGUCUCACAAUGCCACCUAUUUCAACAAGAAAUAGUUUAAUGUCGGGCUCCACUUUUCCCUACCUUCCAUUUUCAAGCACUUUCUUCACUUCACCAAUAUCCCUCAGACCUUCAUUCACCCGAACGUUGUUAAGGUGUUGAUGGGGUGCAAGAUCCUAGACAUGCUUUUCCACCUGGGCCUCUCCCUAUUAGAGAUCAUUUUUGUUUAUACCAUCAAUAUGAGCCAGAAAUGAAUAUUCAGCUUGUCCGCUCACAUUCCCUCUCUCCAGUUGGUUAUGGGACUUCCAAAUUCCAACAAGGGCGGGGCUAGGGCGUACGUCAUUGUUUCCAGUCCCUAGGUUGGCCUAUACGAGGGUCCGGACCGAGAAUUUCAUCCACGCCACUCGUUGUAUAUUCCAAGUAAAAUACGUUGCAAUUUUCUUUAUGUGUCAUUCGUAACUUUCUGGCUUUAAAUUAGUUACUAAUUGUUUUUUUUUUUUUUUUUUGCGUGGUACAAGCAAGGACAAGAGAGGUCGGGUCGUGGAAUGGGUGGAGAAUACCUCUUUUGACUGUCUCAACAAGUUGUUUGAGAUAACCGCAAACGAGUGAAACCACCAGACCCUCCUGACGAAUAAGAAUUUGAUUGUUGUGGUCUAGGAGCCCAAGUCGUAUGUCAUGUCCAUCAUUUCUCAUCCAGCCCUUAAGGUCUUGGUGCCCGAUGAGCAUCACAUGCUGAAUGAUCUUCCUUUUUAUGAAGUCGCACGCGUGGGACGCAAAUGCACGCUAAGACUGGCUGGACCAAAAAGACAAGAAGUGUCAGAAAGGGACACUAAGGCAAGCUCUGGGCGGAAACCGUUCGGCUUCUAGCUCUACUAUCUACCCUUCGACCAAGAAAAAUAAACUUGUAGUUCAACCCACUAAGAAGGCGCCGACUCAACCAUUCGCAUCUUUGUAUGUUUCAGCUUCUUCUGCAUCUUCCUCCGCUACUAACACUAAAUAGGACUCCUUAGUAGACUCGUCUUCCGCAAUGACUGAGCAGGAGACGGGUCUAUCUGAUGGUUCCCCACAUCGUUUGUGAGAAAGAAAGAGAUGAGGACAUGGCAACAAACUUGAGAGUUAGCUUCAAGGAGAGGCAGUGCAAGCGCCUCUCUGAAUCUAUCACGGUCGUCCCUCCUCCCACUAAGAAACCCUACAUGGAGGUACUCUGCCCAGUGCCCGUCUCGACCAUUCAUCUAACGCCAAAGCCUCCGUUUGAUGUUGUAGGACCCAAUCGUUUGGGGCCUAGUCAUGUGCCGAUCAUUAGGCCUUCUGUUGGAAAAGAUACUCACCCAGAGCUAGAUGGGCCCUCCACUAAUCUGGUCCCACUCAACGACGAUUCUGUUGAGUGUGUGGCCUCUAUCUCUCCACACCCCCCGACGACUCGUGCUCCUAGCAGGAAAGAAAUGGUUGAACUGCUGAAGUAGGUCCUCUGCUUUAUAGAGAGUAAGGGUCCUAUGAAUAAUAUAGGGGACCUCUUCCCGGCCACCCAGUGGGUCUCGGUGGACCUAGGCGGCAACCCCAGCAUCUCCUUCGUGGCUCAACUCCCAUUUGGCACCCUAAAGUUCGUUGUUUCCCGUAUCUCACCUAUGCAAGAUUGCACAACCGUCGAGACGGUGGAAGUGGUAAGUCUAGCCCCUCUCUAGUUCAUGACACAUUUACCUCUGAUUACUUAACAUUUUCCUUAUUGUCGUUUUUAGGUGGUGGCUGACGUUCGCAACUUGAUGCGUCAACACGCUUUGCUCCUCAAAUCGUUGGAGGUUGUUGAGGCCAUGAGAGUGUACAUUGCUCAGCACAUGGACGGUAGUGAAAAUUUUUGCUCGAAGCUGAAACUAGUAGAGAACGAGUUUUCUGCUACUCGAAAGGCUAUUAAAGAGGUAGUCGGGUUGCUAAGGAAUGUAGAAAAUGAGAGGAAAGUGGCCAAGGCUAAGGCCCGCCGACUGAGAGAUAGGGAGAAGCGACAAAAGCUAAGUUCAAGAAAGCCGAGCAAAAGAACGAGCAACAGAGGAAGGAGAUGGAGGAGCUCCGAGCGGGGUUUACUGCUUAGAAAGAAAAACUAAAGUGCGAGUACCAAAAGCAGGUGGAUGACAUGUAUUUCUUCGGCUAUCGAUACUUCAUGAAGAAACAUGGCAUCACCCAGGAUACCCCCAACUAUCCUUCAAAUGAUGAGAUCCCAGCAGCCAGCGGCCUUGCCCGAGAAAAUGGAGACACUACUACAAUUAGCCCCUCUGGUGGGCAGACAUGAUACAUUUGUAUUUUUUCUUUAAUUCUCUUGGUCGAAGAUGGUUUUGUACUGAACAAUUUAAUUUCUAAUACAUACUUGUUUCUUUUUAUUCUUUCCAUACACAUUUCACUUUUCACAGACCAAACUUGCUGAUAAUAUUACUUUAAGUUAGAUACAUUACAGGGUCGAAGCAAGAGCACUUCGUCUAGUGUUUGUAGAUAGUAUGCCCCCGAGUCCCCAGUCUUAGUCAUGACACAGGGUCCUUCCCAAUUUUCCUACAGUUUCUCGGCUCCUCUCUCGACCGUGUUCUUAAAGACUCUUCUAAGGACCAAGAUUCCAGUUUGGAACAUGCGUAGCCGGGCUUUUUUAUUGUAAUGGUCAAUAGUUCUUUGUUGAUAGGAUGCCAUCUAGAUGGUUGUGUUCCCCCUCACUUCGUCUACCCAAUCCAAGUGUCUCUUAAGCUCUUGAUUUUCAUUCAUUUGGCCUUGAACGGCUGUUUUGGUUAUGAACAUGUCUAUCUCAGUUGGAAUGAUGGCUUCCAUCCCAUAAGUAAGGGCAAAGGGAAUGGUCCUUGUAGGCCGUCCGGGGGUAGUCCGGUAAGCCUAUAAGACCCUGGAUAGCUUGUCUACUCACUUUCCUUUGGCCUCCUCAAGUCUUUUAUUUAGUGCAAUGAGAAGGGUUUUGUUUGUUGUUUCUACUUAUCCAUUACUUUGAGGAUAGUGGGGCGUGCAAUAUAGAUUCUUGAUCUUUAGCUCUGAAUAGAAGGUUCUGAAGGCAAUGCUGUCAAAUUGCGGUCCAUUAUCUGCUAUAAUUGCUUGCGGGAUUCUAAACUAACAAACGAUGUUUUUUCAAGCGAACUUACAAAUAUCCUUGUCUUUGAUGCUAGCAUAGGCCUCUACUUCUACCCACUUGCUGAAGUAAUCAGUAUCUACGAGCAAAAACUUCUUCUGCAUGGAUGCAACCUAUAAGGGGCCAACUAUAUCCAUUCCCCAUAGCGUGAACGGCCAAGGGCUCGUGAGCGAAUUGAAUAUCAAAUGGCAUAUAAGGAAUGGGAGCGUACUUCUAACACCAGUCACAUCUUUUGACAUAGUUUUUAGCGUCUUGCUUCAUGGUGGGCCAAUAGUACCCCUAUGUGUGAGCGCGAUGUGCUAAGGUAUGUUCGCCUGCAUCGUGGAGCUCGGCUAGGACGUACUGGGCUUUCGGAUUGCUCAAAUAUUUCAAUUACAACCCACCAAAAGAUCGCUUGUAAAGGCAAUCACCAAUUAAAGUGAAGCGGACUGCCUGUACCCGAAUCUUGUGCGCUAUUUUUCAUCUCCAAGUAGUUUCCUUAUCUGGAGAUACUUCACAAUGUCAUGCGUCCAGCCGAUGUCGGACUCACUAGUACUACAAAUUGACGCAAACACAAAUGACGAUGUGCCAUGGAGGUAAAUGAGCAGCAGCACAGCUUCCUUUAUAAGGAGAGUAGCGACUAUUCCGACCAGCACAUCAACUUUAAAUUUUCUGUCCGGGGUACUCUCUCAAUGACCUAUUCACCUAGUUUCGCUAAGCUAUCUUGUACUAGUGUGAGAUAGCGAACCAUGCAUUCAUCCUUAGCUUCAUAUUCUUUCUGGAUUUUCCCCAUGACUAGUUGAAAAUUGCUACAUAUUUUCAAUUUAAGUACUGCCAAGGAAUGGGCAAAUUCUAGUUCGGUUAGGAUCGCCUCAUACUUAGCUUUGUUGUUGGAGGCAGGGAAGUUGAGCCGAAUAGCUUGCUCUAGUAGCUCCCUGGUUGGGGACUGUAAAAUUAAGCCUACCCAUGAACCGAAGGCCCUAGAGGCUCCAUCCACAUGAAGUACCCCACCACCUUUCCUCGUGGGAGUUCGUUAGGUGGGAUGGCUUUUGGGAAAGCUCAGCUAUAAGUCAAUCAUGAUUAGUCAUUUCAACACCAGUCUGGGUUAAUACUUGAUUUUGUAUUCACUAAGCUCUAUAGCCUACUUUAGCAUUCUCUCGGACAAAUCCGAUUUAUGCAAAGUGCUUAUGAGCUGCUAAUUCGUGAGUAUAGUCACUUGAUGGGCUUGAAAGUAUGGGUGAAACUUUUGGGCAGCAUUUUUCAAGGCUAAAGACGUUUGCUCCAACUUAGAGUACUGGGUUUCUACGUCAACCAUGGCUUUGCUCACGUAGUAGACAAGCCUUCGUUCUUUGUCUCUCACAUGACGAAAUAGGACAGCACUACCCGCAUAGUGAGACAUGGCUAAAUACAUGUAGAGUUGUUCAUUAGAUUGAGGGCUACUCAGAAUGGGUGGUUGGGUGAGAUAGCGUUUGACCUCAUCGAAUGCCCAUCCACAUUCAUCCGUCCAACCAAUCGCGCUUGCCCCCUUUAGUGUGAGGAAAAAAUGUCUUAGCUUGUCCAUGAAACGGGCUAUGAAAUGUCCCAAUGUAGCUAGGUGACCUGAGACAUUGCAACUCCUUCUUAUUGCUUGGAGCAGGCAUCUCAAGAACGGCUCUUAUUUGGUUUGGGUUGACUUUGAUUCUCUUUUGUGUUACCACAAACCCUAGGAAUUUUUCUACGCUGACGCCAAAGACUCAUUUAGUUGGGUUGAACUUCAUGUUGUAUGCCCUCAUUAGGUGAAAUGUUUCCUCUAAGUGUUGGGCAUGUUCGCUCCAGGUUUUGCUUUUUACCACAAUAUCAUCGAUAUAAACUUGUACGUUCCGGUUGAUCAGGGGUUUGAAUAUCUUUGUCAUCAGUCUUUGGUAAGUGGCGCUAGCAUUCUUGAGCCCAAAUGGCAUAACCUUGUAGCAAUACAGAUCGUGGGACGUCACGAAGGUUGUAUUCUCUUCGUCUGGUGGGACCAUGGGGAUUUGGUGGUAUCUGGAGAAUGCAUCUAUGAAGGAGAGCAUUCCGUGUCUAGCAGUGGCAUCCACUAUUUGAUCUAUUUAGGGCAACGAAAAACUAUCCUUCAAGUAAGUAUCAUUCAGAUUGGUGUAGUCGACACAAACUCGCCAUUUUCCAUCUUUCUUUGGAAUAACCACCACGUUCGCUAAUCAAUUCGGAUAUUCAACUUCCCUUAUAAACCCAACUGCAAGCAAUUUGUCCACCUCGGACUGGAUGAUCUUUUGCAUGUCCAGGUGGAAGCGUUGAACUUUCUGGCAGAUGGCCGCAAGAAAGGCAUGACAUUAAGCCAAUGUGAGGCUAUAGACGGAUGGAUCCCUGGCAUGUCAAAGUGAGUCCACGCGAAGACAUCUUUGUUUUGUCAAAGCACACUUUCAAGUACUUUUAAUUCUUCCGGUGCAAGAAGAGAGUUGGCAUAUAAGUAACAUGAUUACUACUGUAUGAGAGAUACAAGAGUUGGAGUGGGUCAGCUGUAGGCAGAUCUUUUUCAAUCAGGCUCUAUAAUUGCUAUUGUUCCUUCAUAUUUGAUGGUUCCAUGCUUGGCUCACUACUACUUAGGAGUCCGGACUCAAGCACCACUUGAUAGCACUGGCGCGCAGCCAGUUGACUGCCAAAAAUGUCAAUUUAUCCAUCUUCAGUAAGGUAGCUCACCAUCUGAUGAUAUGCAGAGGAAAUGGCUUUCAUGCUAUGAAGUCAUGUGCGUCCCAUGAUGGCGUUGAAAUGGGAUAAAUCCUCUACCACCGAGAAUCGCACUUUCUAGGUGACUAGACCGGCUUGUACGGGCAAUACGACGUAUCCCAGGAAAGUUGUCGAGGCUCCAUUGAAUCCAAAUAGUAUCCACCCAGGGUUUUCCAAGGCAGAUGGUAGGAGUCCCAUUUUCCUGUACAACGACAUCUACAAGAGGUCAGCUGAGCUGCCCGGAUCAAUCAAAAUUUUUCUUACAUCGAACCCACUUAUCCCUAGUGUCAAGAUCAAGGCAUCUUCGUGUGGCUGUAGGACCCGGUUGGGGUUUAUUGGAGGGAAAGUGAUUAUCCCGUCCAUUAGGCGUGCAUCCUCACCCGGUAAACUAUGUUGGAUGGAGCUAACCUACUCCCUUACGGAGGCCACUCGAAGCAAUCUUUGACUUUUUUGUUUGAAAUUGUAGUUUUCAUCAAUGGGAGCUGCUGAAGUUGUGGGGGUUUGGGCGGCCAAAUCCCGGGUCGUUUCCUUUUGUCCUCCGGUUGUGCGGACGUAUUACUUUAGGUUCCCAACCUUGAUUAGUCUCUUCACUAAGUAGUGGAGACUUCUGCAUUGUUCCAUGGUGUGGUCAUGGUUUCUUGUGAUAGGCACACUUUCGGCUCUGAUCCCAUUUCACCAAAUCCGUCUUAAUUGGCUCUGGUCAUCUGAAAUCGAACAGGUCAUGGACCAUGGGGAGGAGUUUAUCUUAUGAAAUGUUAAAGGGGGUUAGGCCAGCUUGGCUUAACUGCUAUUGGUCAUCCCGCCUCUUGCUAGCUUGCCUCAGUUGGUUUGAGGGCUUAGAGUUUCCGGCAUGGUUGUUUCUAGUAGGUUAAUUGGUGACCAAGACCUACUGUAUAGUCGCACGGACAUCGUCUUCAAUCAUGGAGUACUUGUAGUGCAUGAUAUGGUCAAAUGGAUCACUUGUUCCAUCGUAUAUCCUGAAUUUCAAUACCAUGAACCUUCUUGAGGGCUCGUAGUUGAUGAUGUGAUGGCUAAAAGGCUUGGAGAACAUGUCAUCCAGUCGUCUGUUGAUAAAGUGGGGCAGACCUCGAUCUAUUAGAACUCUUACUUGUUGUACUGGUGGAUAAAAAUGCCACUCCAGCAUAACUACUACAGGCGAGGGACCAUGGCAAACCUUCUGGGUUGUUGCUACCCAUGGUCUUCCCUCCAUGCCAAGUGUCUGAGGUCUCAAUCAGGCCCGCAUCAUAUUAGACAGUUGCGACCUCCAGCCUCGCCUCCUUUUUGUUGAUAAGCUGGUAGAAUCAGAGCUUUCGUCUAGCAACGCUUGAUGAGUUGGUGAAAACUUCUCAUCAAGCCGAAUCUCCUGACUGCCAAAAUGGAACUUUGUGUUCUUGGGAAAGAAUACCUCGUCGUUUAAGUUGGAGUUUGUUCAUUGGCUUUUAGGUUGUCAACUAUGAGAGGGGCCUGAUGAUGAUACUUGGGCACGCAACACAUCAUUUUCUUUUUUAAGUCUCCUUGUCUCUCGAAGCAGGGACCAUACCUGUCGCUCACUCUCUUGUUGGCAUCUCUCCAUGUUUUCUCACUUGUUGAAGUAGCCUUCACUACCCAUGGCAGAUGAUCGGCUCCUCGAGGGCGUUGACAUCCUUAAAACUUCCCACAAACGGGGUUAAUGUUGAUGUUAGAUCAAUUUGAGUCAUAUUCUCUUCAUGUUGUGCCUCUCAAAGCUUCUGCCCAGCAAUAGAGGGAUGGACAAGCUUUUUCCCUACACAAAGGAUGUCUGGAUAGGUAGUCCGGACACGCCCCUCUGAAGCCUAAGUUAGACACAGGUAGGUCAAACCCUUUCAGGGAGAGAAUGAAUAGGUCGGCUUAAGUGCACAUACCUAGAUUAUGCUUCAGGAGGGCUUUUUAUAGUGCUCAAGAGAAAGCCACUGUAGUGUUGACUAAGCACUUUGACCUUCUCUGUAAUGAUGGCUGCCUUGCAAGUGGCAGGGCAAUCAUUACAGUUUUGGGCGGCUAGCAAGUGUCGUCAGAAGUUGUGUCAUGAUGUUCAAUCAUGCAUUUGCCCAUCUCUUCAACUUGCUGGAGGUAUGGGACAGUGCGUGAUAAUUAAUGGACAUGGACGUGAGGAUUGGGGGAGAUCCCAUCAGCCACUUCCAUGUCAAAUGGAGAUGAUUACAUGUAGCAAAGGGGACUUUAAGGCUAGCUGGAGAGUAUCGUCCACUUAAGUAGUCCGGUGCCAUUUGUCGUAUGUCUGUGUGGUUCGGAUGGAAGGCUCUAGACAUUGUGGCAACUAUCCGGGCAGUAUCGAGGGAAAGUGCCAUGUGGAGAUGAGUCCCCACAAUAUAUAUGUAUAUAUGAAUGACGAUGGAUGCCUCAUCAAAAUUAUACCAAAAUUAAUCACAUGAGCCCCAAACUAGUGAAAUUCGUGAACCCGUCAACAAGACUACAACUUAAGACUCAUUUGGAAGCAAUUAUGGCAAAAAUACUUUUAAUUUAGAAAUAUUUUAUCAAUAAAAGUUUUUACAAAAUGGGGAAUUAUUCUAGUGAAAGUGAUUUUAAGUAUAGCAAUUUUGUUGGAAAUGUGUUUAUGAAAAAUUAGUUACUCUUUGGAUAUAAAAAAAAAAAAAACAAUUUAUAGUGUUUUGAGUGAUAUGUUACACAUAAAAAACUGAUUUUCGAAAGAAAUAUAUGCUAAUUAAUAAUAAUAAAAUUAAUGAAAGUGAUUUUCUAAAUUUUAAAAAUCGUAUCAAAUGUCCAUCCAAUAAUUAGAAGCGCUCUUAGAAUUAUUUUGGUGCUUAAGUCGGUUGCUCCAAAUCCAAACCCAAUUCAACUCACUUUCUUCUCAACAACUCUUGUUCUUGUGGCUGCAAGUUCCCAUUCAUCCUUGAAUUCUUUAACUUAAACUAUAAUAUAACAAAACAAUAUCCAAACUCUUUCCUUGUUGAAUCAAUUUUUUUAUUUAACCUCAUGAGAUUCCCAAAUGUCAUCUUUGACCUCAUUUCCGAUCUUUGCCUAACUCAAUCGUCAAUUUAGACACUUUAAAAAUUAAAUCAUGACAAUAAUAUCGUACUUAUGUAAGAUAUAGACCAACUUCAUUCCAAUAAUCUUUCCAUCAUAAACAAAAGAAGGGAUUAUGCAUGUACCACAUGAAAAUCUUCCAUACUCAUAUUCUCUUGUGAUCAAAUGUAUAAAUCUAAAGCUAUUGUGAUCUCAUUCAUGGCAUAUCUUUUCAUUUUUCCUCUACUUGCCAAAGAAAACUAUCAUGGCCUUAGAAUCCAUUUCAUGACUUUCAUUGUACCUCAUUCAAGAUUGCUCAUGUGCAUCUUCGUUAUUAUCUUAUAUUAAUUUUGAUUGAAUUAGCAAUUUCAUUCUCUUAUAUGCAUGGCUAAGCAUAGUUUAGUGCACUCUUUUAAUAAUCAUAAGAGAUAUAGACACUAAUUUUCGUCUUCUAUUCCUAAUGUCACUUUAGGCAAAACACAAUCGUUGUAAGAGUAAUAGGAUUGAUAGAGAAAUACAAAUAAUUUCAAAGAAGAUAAAAUUUGGAAGAAUUAAAAAUUUAUUGUGUUCCACCACUCUCUCUUGUUCAAGUAUUACAUAAUCUCCUAUUGAAAAUUACAUACUCGCAUUUAUUUAAAUAAACACUCUUAAUAAUAACAUAUAGAAACCUUCUAGGAUUUAACCACUCAAAAACAUAAACUAAAAUAAUCAUUGAAAAUAAAAUAUUAUUCUUGACUUUUUAGAAACUAAAUCUAAUUGUAAUAUUUAAUAAGUUCCACGUCUCAACGAUCAUCAUUGAGCCAACUACUUAUUGGUAUCCAAAUGUAACUUAGAUGUUGUGAUUACCUCCAACAAAUUACUUAAAUUUUGAGUUGAGCUCCCAUUUGGUUCAACAGCCCUUCUAGCAAGCUCUUUCAGGACUCUAAUUUUCUCUCUCAUUUUGUUCCCUUCAUGGGACAAAAUUAGUCCUAGAGCACUCAUUACUCCACUUUUCGUGAGGACCCCUCCCUCAACUCCCACACCAAUCCCCCAUACAUCCUCUACCAUCCGCUUGUCGAUACAUUGAUCUCCAAAGAAUGGCCUACAGAUCAUAGGCACACCACCAACUAUACUCUCAAUCACCGAGUUCCAACCACUAUGAGUAAUAAACACUCCAACUGAGGCAUGUGCUAAGAUUUGAGGUUGAGGAGCCCACGAAACAACUUUUCCAUGAGCAGUCGUCCUCUCUAGAAAUCCUUUUGGUAAAUUGUCCAUUGCAUGUUCCCUAAGAGACCAAAGAAACGGUAUCCCAGUUGCUUCUAGGGCUUCUGCCAAUGCUACAAUCUCGUUGGGUGGUGGUGUUGCUAUGCUUCCAAAACUAACAUAUGCCACUGAUGCUUCUUUUUUAUUGUCUAACCAUGGCAGGCAACCACUAGCGUCCAAUAUCAACUGUGGUGGUGAAGAUAGAUCAAAAGGACCAACAGCAAGAACUUUUUGGAGCUUCGACUUGGGAUCAUUUGUGACAAUGGGCUCUAGUUCUUCAAAGGAGUUUGUGGCAACAGCGGUUGCUCGUGGCAGCGUGAGCCCCAUUUUAUGCAACAUGCAUGCAAAAGGAGAUUCUAUGUCCCCGAAAACUAUUCCUUCAGGUAGGUCUUCAACCUUUAUUGCUGAGAAUCCUGGAAUGAAAUCAAGGGUUUGGUCUUGCACCCGCCCUAUAAUAGGCAAAAAGCUGCAUUCGUUAAUAUUAAUUGACAAACACUGAUCAAGAUGAAUGACAAAGAAAAAAAAAAGCUUUCUAUGAGAAAAAUAAUAACUUGGUAUUUGUAGUAACUUGAAAUCACACCAAGAAAAUGGUCAUUUUAAUUUGGAAAAGGUUUCGUAUAUAAGGCUAAUCAUGAGAAAAAUAAUUUGGCAAUCC